rnacentral:lncRNA from 1 species
GUGACAUUGACACACUGUCCAUGCAAAUUGCUAACUGCUGCUGUAAACAAAUAGCUAUCAGACAAAAACAGAAACUAACCCUGGAUGUAGGCAAGAGGACUAGAGUUGCUUCCAAUCACCAAGGAAAAUACAUUCCCAUUAGAAGUAAUAAAACAAGAGCUGUUUUUCUGGCAUGAAGAAGUAGGAGAGAAUUUUUUUUUUCUUCUUUACUGAAUUGGAAGAAAGGAAUGAAAACACAGAUAAUAACCAUGGAUAUGUGGAAGGAGACAAGAUGACGCCUCUUUAACUCUGAUUCAAAUGCUUAGCUUUGGUGAUACGCAAAAAGCUACCACUAUGUCUCCACGAAGCUGAGUAUUUUCCUUGGAGUAGCUUUUUAUUUGGACAUAUGGAAUGAAACUUACUUAAUAUUCUGCAGAGAUCUUCCUGGUGUUUCCAAAAUGGUGAGACAGGAUGGCUGGAAGAGGCUGAAGUUGGGAAUCUGCCUUCCUCCAGUUUGGAGGAGACUUUGUUUGUUUUCAAUACCAGCAUCUAAAAGAAGAAAAUAAUAACAAGAAAGUUCUGGAGUAAAGUCCCUAAAUGAGGAGAAGAUAGGAGUACUGACAGUAUCAGUUUGGAGCAGAAUAUAAUAACUUUGGACCUUCCAGAUAACCUGAACAAGGUAAACAACACCCCUUAGCAACACAACUUAGCAAGGCUUCUUCAGCUUCCUGGUUCAGGUUAGGAGAUUUGGGAGUUGUCCUAGUAAUCAGAGUAUAGUUGAGGACCAUUACUGUCCACAAGAAAAGUAAUUUUCAUGGGUAGGAUUUGGCAACUCUUCUUGCCAUCCCAUCCCUGUGUAAGAGACAAAAUAGCAAUUCCCUACAAUUUUACCUACUGCAGAAGCUAUAAAUGAAUUCCUAAGUACAUCCUGCAAAGAACUAAACCAAAGCCUGUUUUAUCACAGCGUAGAUGGCUUCCAGCUACCUUAAAUGCAGCCAUAUGCUCCCUGAUAUUAUAAGUCCUAUUAUGCAAGCCUCCUCCCCAAUCUCAGAGGAGACUAGAAGACAUGCCACUGCUGUUGCUUCCCAUCCACAUUUUAAAAUAACAGAAUAAAAGAAAAAUCAGCUUCAAUUGGC